UACGGGGGGGGCAAGCGUUGUUCGGAAUUACUGGGCGUAAAGGGCUCGUAGGCGGCCAACUAAGUCACACGUGAAAUCCCUCGGCUUAACCGGGGAACUGCGUCUGAUACUGGAUGGCUUGAAUCCGGGAGAGGGAUGCGGAAUUCCAGGUGUAGCGGUGAAAUGCGUAGAUAUCUGGAGGAACACCGGUGGCGAAGGCGGCAUCCUGGACCGGCAUUGACGCUGAGGAGCGAAAGCCAGGGGAGCAAACGGG
rnacentral:rRNA from 1 species